GCAGUUGUGUUGCGCAAGUAGCGAGAUGUUAAUGCAAUAUACAAUUAUAUAAACGCAAUUAAAUGUUAAAACUCAAAACGUCAACAAUCUAGCAGCAGAAAACAUUCGUCUCCAAACAGACGUGAUGACGUCAUCUGCUAGAAGUAUCAUCGGGUUCCACCGCAGGUGGUGACAUCACCAUGAGGCCGUGCCAUCCACUAGAUUCUGGGGGAUUUCGCGCAUGAAUUUCUUUAUUUGUCUGCAGGAAUUGCACAGCUACUAUUGGAAAGGUCACACAACGGUUUCAGCUUUUUUCGUUGUUAUAAUUCAAAUGAAUUGUAUGUUAAUAAUUAAUAUUAAUUGCGUACCCAGUUCCUUUUCAAGGCUAAACGCACUCCGAACAUGGCCAAGUCUCGCGCUGUUGCUAUGGUGAACAGAUGACGCUUCGUCACCGGAACAAUCACUGCGCGUGUUUUGUGUUCGUUGGACUGAUAAUCUCGUAAAAAGUGGCGAUUUUAUCAAGUUAUUAUUACUCACGCAGCAGUUAUUUCAGCAGCCGAAACGGGUUUGUGUGAUUGUUUUAGUACUGAUGUCUUUGUUGAAUGCAUUACGGAUAAACGUGUUUAAUGGUGUUAGUUAGUUGUGAGUUAGGCGGCGGUUUAUAUUUAGUGUAUUCUAAUAAUAAUGGCUUUCUAUGAGGUUUACCCUCAUCCCGCUUUAAUCAAACACAGAAAGUGCGUUUGCACGAGAGCCACGCUGUUUGUGCUCGUGGUUUAAUGCCUCACUUAUAUUUCACCUCUAUUAGUGGCUUAUAGAAGUCAAGGUGCAGGAAGAGGAUAGGAACCAGGAUGGGAAGACAGGCCUGCUCAAUCUCCAGAUCAACACCCCUCUCAAACCACACAAGCAGACGUUCAGUAUUCAGCUGCACCUCACCUUCUCAUACCAGCAUGGCACUUUUCACAAAUAUAUUUAAUACAUUAAAUCUUAGUUUUUUUUUUUUUGUUUUUUUUUUUGCUGUGAGAACAAUUAGGACUAGAUAUGUUUGAUAAACAUCUAAUAUAAAAUUAACCUAGCAUGAAAAAGUAACUCAUUUUAAACGCAUCAAAUGCCUGACCUCUUUGACAGUAUCCAACAUUUAAAAUCACAAUGUCAUCAUUUGGACAUAAUCUUGAAUUAAGAUUAUAAUCUUGAUAUUUAUAAUAAUAAAUAUUCAUGGAGAUUUUUCACAGAUAUGGGUGAUUCUCUCGAAACCUGUCAAGAAAAUGUGCUGGUCCUAUUUUACUCCAGAAUCAAAAGAAAUAAAAUAAGAAAUUAACUGUAAAUAAUAAAAUAUUUAAAUAAUUAUAUAUGGUAAUAGUAAAACAAUGUUGGGAUUAGAGGUCGAACGAUAUUGGAUUUUGCAGACACGAUAACUAGGUGGUGGAAAAAGCUGUUAACUGAAUAACUGGCGGGGUAAAAUGUGCUUAAGUGUGCUGAAAAUAAUGUCACAACGCAAACAUUUUUAAAUGGUCCUAAAUGUCCUAAAUAUUUGUCUGUCUAUUUUAUCUAUCAAUCUAAUUUAUCUAUCUAUCUGUCUGUCUAUCUGAGGUUGUCUACUGUUGUGAUGCAGAUGCAUUUGUACAGCAUUCUUCGUCUGUUCCUGGUGCUCAGCUCUUCAUCAGUGGAGAUCUUAGGCUCCGCCAGCAAACUCCUAUUCCUCACAUGCUGCUUAUAAUGUAUCAGUGAUUAAUGGAUCCAGGCCAUUUGCAAUUUCAUAUGACCUGAUCAACAUCAUUGGACACAAUCAGCAGAGAAACUAGACUAUGGCUCCCUGCUCAGCGCCCUCAAGAGGAGGAGGCAGCUGACUGCUGAUGAGCUUAGGUUCAUAGCAGAGGAGGACUUGGCUCAUGAGGGCAUGAGCACACAGAAGGAAGAUCUGCUGGACCAGGAACUACUGCAGGAAGACCCGGACCACGAGGAGAUGGAGGAUGAGAUGGAACCUAAUCCCCAGUCAAGACCAUCAACUGGGUAUUUAUGAAUGUGUGCUCAAAAGGAGUAUUUGAGGAGUGGUCUUGUGAAAUGUAUCUUAACAUUUGAAAGCCCUAGUUCUUCUCUUCAAUGUGGUAUAUACAGUUCAGUGAGAGGCGGGGGAAAUAAAAGGGGCCAGACCUAAGAGUGAGGGAGAGUGAUGAACGUAGUUUGGUGCGAAAAGUGCAAAUGAAUCCCAGAACAACAGCAAAGGACCUUGUGAAGAUGCUGGAGGAAACAGGUAGACAAGUAUCUAUAUCCACAGUAAAACGAGUCCUAUAUCGACAUAACCUGAAAGGCUGCUCAGCAAGGAAGAAGCCACUGCUCCAAAACCACCAUAAAAAAGCCCGACUACAGUUUGCAAGUGCACAUGGGGACAAAGAUCUUACUUUUUGAAGAAAUGUCCUCUGGUCUAAUGAAACAAAAAUUGAACUGUUUGGCCAUAAUGACCAUCGUUAUGUUUGGAGGAAAAGGCUGAGGCUUGCAAGCCGAAGAACACCAUCCCAACCUUGAAGCAUGGGGGUGGCAGCAUCAUGUUGUGGGGGUGCUUUGUUGCAGGAGGGACUGGUGCACUUCACAAAAUAGAUGGCAUCAUGAGGAAGGAAAAUUAUGUGGAUAUAUUGAAGCAACAUCUCAAGACAUCAGCCAGUAAGUUAAAGCUCGGUCACAAAUGUGUCUUCUAAAUGGACAAUGACCCCAAGCAUACCUCCAAAGUUGCGGCAAAAUGGCUUAAGGAUAACAAAUUCAAGACACUGGAGUGGCCAUCACAAAACCCUGACCUCAAUCCGAUAGAAAAUUUGGAGGAAUGGGCCAAAAUUCCAGCAACUUAUUGUGAGAAGCUUAUGGAAGUCUACCCAAAAAGUUUGAGCCAAGUUAAACAAUUUAAAGGCAAUGCUACCAAAUACUAACAAAGUGUAUGUAAAUGUCUGACCCACUGGGAAUGUGAUGAAAGAAAUAAAAGCUGAAAUAUAUCAUUCUCUCUACUAUUAUUCUGACAUUUCACAUUCUUAAAAUAAAGUAGUGAUCCUAACUGACCUAAGAAAGGGAAUGUUUUCUACGAUUAAAUGUCAGGAAUUGUGAAAAACUGAGUUUAAAUGUAUUUGGCGUAUGUAAAUUUAUGACUUCAACUGUACAUGAUACAUUGCUGUAGUUACCUUAUUUUGCUGGUGUUUUAACUUUUAUUAACUUUUGCACACAUUCUGGCCAACUUUUUUUUUCAUUGAUUUUGUUGUAAAUAAACAUUUCAAGCAUUGUCAUCAGUGUUCUAUACAAUUAAAACUAUUUUA